rnacentral:rRNA from 1 species
AACAAGUAACAAUUAGAGGGCAAGUCUGGUGCCAGCAGCCGCGGUAAUUCCAGCUCUAAUAGCGUAUAUUAAUAUUGUUGCAGUUAAAAAGCUCGUAGUUGAAAUUUGGAACUUUAUUAUAUUGGUUUAUCUUUUGAUGAACUGUAUAAUGGGUUUCUUCCUACUAGAGUUCGAUUCUGUUCUUAAUUGAAUGGAGUAGCUAUCUCUCGGGGUGGUCAGUUGGUUGUUAUAUCUCCACUAAUAAGCGGACAGGGGUAAAACCUUUAAAGUAAGUUAUGUGGGUCAAGGUAUGAUGAUUAAUUGGAGUUCUAGUUCAUUUACUUUGAGAAAAUUAGAGUGUUUAAAGCAGCCUCUUGGGGCACUGAAUACAUUAGCAUGGGAUAAUAAAAUAGGAUCUUCACAAUAUAUUUUAUUGGUUUAAAUUGCGUAUGAAGAUAAUGAUUAAUAGGGAC